UGCAAAAUGUCCUUAAAAUUACCAAUUCAGGGGCAGCAACCCAACAACAGAUUGUCAGAUUUGUCUAAAAAUUUCAGGGCAGAUAGAUCUUGACCUGAUAAUCAGUUUUA